rnacentral:rRNA from 1 species
UACGUAGGGUGCAAGCGUUGUCCGGAAUUAUUGGGCGUAAAGAGCUCGUAGGCGGUUUGUCGCGUCUGCUGUGAAAACCCGAGGCUCAACCUCGGGCCUGCAGUGGGUACGGGCAGACUAGAGUGCGGUAGGGGAGAUUGGAAUUCCUGGUGUAGCGGUGGAAUGCGUAGAUAUCGGGAAGAACAUCAGUGGCGAAGGCGGUCUGCUGGGCCGUUGCUGACGCUGAGGCGCGACAGCGUGGGGAGCAAACAGG